rnacentral:rRNA from 1 species
UACAGAGGGUGCAAGCGUUAAUCGGAAUGACUGGGCGUAAAGGGCACGUAGGCGGAUAGAUGUGUCAUAGGUGAAAUCCCCAGGCUUAACCUGGGAACUGCCUGUGAAACUGUGUAUCUAGAAUAUAGGAGAGGGAAGUGGAAUUUCCGGUGUAGCGGUGAAAUGCGUAGAUAUCGGAAAGAACACCAGUGGCGAAGGCGACUUCCUGGUCUAAUAUUGACGCUGAGGUGCGAAAGCGUGGGGAGCAAACGGGAUUAGAUACCCCUGUAGU